UACGUAGGGCGCAAGCGUUGUCCGGAAUUAUUGGGCGUAAAGAGCUCGUAGGCGGUUUGUCGCGUCUGCUGUGAAAACCUAAGGCUCAACCUUGGGCUUGCAGUGGGUACGGGCAGACUAGAGUGCGGUAGGGGUGACUGGAAUUCCCGGUGUAGCGGUGGAAUGCGUAGAGAUCGGGAAGAACACCAAUGGCGAAGGCAGUCGGCUGGGCCGUUGCUGACACUGAGGCGCGACAGCGUGGGGAGCAAACAGG
rnacentral:rRNA from 1 species